UGGAGCAACAAUGAAGUGUAUCAUGAACCAUGAAUUAUGUUUAAUCCAGUUUCAUGCACCUGAGGUCAACU
rnacentral:snoRNA from 1 species